rfam:Oryza glumipatula chromosome 2, whole genome shotgun sequence.
UUUAAACGUAGCUAUAAGUUUUCGUGUUUAAUUUUAAUCGUUUAUUUUAUUUUAUAACUAAUAAUUUUAUAUAGUAAUUAGAUGAUAAAAUAUAAAUAUUACUUUAAGUGUGACUCAUGUUUCUAUUAAAUAAUUUUUUAAAUAUAACAGACUAUUAAAGUUAGACACGAAAACUCAUAGCUGCGUUUUUA